rnacentral:rRNA from 1 species
UUGCACCUGAAAGACGAGUGGCGAACGGGUGAGUAACACGUAGGUACCUGCCCUAGAGUGGGGGACAACCUUGGGAAACUGAGGCUAAUACCCCAUAAUCCGGUAACGGAAAAGGAUGCGCGACAUCUGCUCUAGGAUGGGCCUGCGGGCUAUCAGCUUGUUGGUGAGGUAACGGCUCACCAAGGCUACGACGGCUAUCCGGCCUGAGAGGGUGAUCGGACACACUGGAACUGAGACACGGUCCAGACUCCUACGGGAGGCAGCAGUUAAGAAUCUUGCGCAAUGGGGGAAACCCUGACGCAGCCACGCCGCGUGAGCGAUGAAGGCUUUCGGGUUGUAAAGCUCAGUAAAACGGGAAGAAGAAGUAAGGUCCAAUAGGCCUUACGGUGACGGUACCGUUCUAAAGCCCCGGCUAAUUACGUGCCAGCAGCCGCGGUAAUACGUAUGGGGCAAGCGUUGUUCGGAUUCAUUGGGCGUAAAGGGCACGCAGGCGGACUGCUAAGUUGGAUGUAUAAUCGUCAGGCUCAACCUGAUAUCUGCAUCCAAAACUGAUAGUCUAGAGUCUUGGAGAGGAAAGCGGAAUUCUCGGUGUAGCGGUGGAAUGCGUAGAUAUCGAGAGGAACACCAAUGGCGAAGGCAGC